rnacentral:rRNA from 1 species
UACGUAGGGUGCGAGCGUUGUCCGGAAUCAUUGGGCGUAAAGGGCGCGUAGGCGGCCAAUCAAGUCCGACGUGAAAUUCCUCGGCUCAACCGGGGGCCUGCGUCGGAUACUGCUUGGCUUGAGUCCCGGAGAGGGUAGUGGAAUUCCCAGUGUAGCGGUGAAAUGCGUAGAUACUGGGAGGAACACCGGUGGCGAAGGCGGCUACCUGGACGGGUACUGACGCUGAGGCGCGAAAGCUAGGGGAGCAAACAGG